rnacentral:ribozyme from 1 species
AGAAGCAAAAAGGACUGAUGCAAUAGCAAGUUUCAUUUUUUUUUCUUUCUUCUUUGUUUUGCUUUU